rnacentral:rRNA from 1 species
AUUGAACGCUGGCGGCAGGCCUAACACAUGCAAGUCGAGCGAGCGGCGGACGGGUGAGUAAUGUCUGGGAAACUGCCUGAUGGAGGGGGAUAACUACUGGAAACGGUAUCUAAUACCGCAUACCAUCAGAUGUGCCCAGAUGGGAUUAGCUGGUAGGUGGGGUAACGGCUCACCUCGGCGACGAUCCCUAGCUGGUCUGAGAGGAUGACCAGCCACACUGGAACUGAGACACGGGCCAGACUCCUACGGGAGGCAGCAGUGGGGAAUAUUGCACAAGGGGCGCAAGCCUGAUGCAGCCAUGCCGCGUGUAUGAAGAAGGCCUUCGGGUUGUAAAGUACUUUCAGCGGGGAGGCGUUACCCGCAGAAGAAGCACCGGCUAACUCCGUGCCAGCAGCCGCGGUAAUUC